AUUAGAAUCAAGAGAUAUUGGGAAAGGCCUCCUAUAGAAGGUGGGGGGACUUCAAGAAAGCCAGGUGAAGGCAAGAAGGAACCCAGAAGACAUUGUCUGACAACCUACCAGGCAUAUUAAGUUUUCAAAAAAGUUCUCUUACUCAUGGCAAAGGAAGAGAUAAAAGCUCACAUCUGCUGUGCCACCAUUUCACCCCACACGGGCAUCAGUUCCCAGCAAGCAAUACAAGGAUCUAAGACAUCUCCAGAGGCCUCAUGAUG